GAUGAACGCUGGCGGCGUGCCUAAUACAUGCAAGUCGAGCGAACAGACGAGGAGCUUGCUCCUCUGACGUUAGCGGCGGACGGGUGAGUAACACGUGGAUAACCUACCUAUAAGACUGGGAUAACUUCGGGAAACCGGAGCUAAUACCGGAUAAUAUAUUGAACCGCAUGGUUCAAUAGUGAAAGACGGCUUUGCUGUCACUUAUAGAUGGAUCCGCGCCGCAUUAGCUAGUUGGGAAGGUAACGGCUUACCAAGGCAACGAUGCGUAGCCGACCUGAGAGGGUGGUCGGCCACACUGGAACUGAGACACGGUCCAGGCUCCUACGGGAGGCAGCAGUAGGGAAUCUUCCGCAGUGGGCGAAAGCCUGACGGAGCAACGCCGCGUGAGUGAUGAAGGUCUUCGGAUCGUAAAACUCUGUUAUUAGGGAAGAACAAAUGUGUAAGUAACUAUGCACGUCUUGACGGUACCUAAUCAGAAAGCCACGGCUAACUACGUG
rnacentral:rRNA from 1 species